UUCAUGUCUUUUGUAUUAAAGAAUUAAAUGGAUGAAAUAUGAAGUUUUAUUAAAAGAAAAAGGGGUGAAAAGAACAAAGUUUUGUCCAUCUUUGUUCAUCAUAGCUGAAAGUUAGAGAAGAGAAAGGAGAGGAGAAAGCUCUUGAGUAUUCGGUCAUUAGGAGGAGGAAAAUUGAAGGAAAUCCCCAACCAUAGUGGGCUUGGAGCUGUGAGGGAAUUCGGAGUGGCCACCCGUUCUGAAAGUUUGAUUUUCUUCUGGUGAACUGGACAUCCUUUUAUUUACGUUUGAAGUUUUGGGUUUUUAAAUGUAAUAAGACCGCUUAAUUUAUUUUUGAUGGUUUUAA